CAACAGUUCGUUAACUGAAUACAGCCGG
rnacentral:sRNA from 1 species